UAUCAACAGCCAUCAACACUAUAUGAAAAUGUCCGUAGCGUGAUACAACAUUGCAAAUUAAAAUAGCCAUAAAAAAAAUCUCAAAAAUUCCAAUCAGCUGACCAACAAAGAGCCCAACAAAAUUUGGAGAUAUAUUUAACUACAACUUGAUCCUUCACGCACCAAACCUAUGAAGCAAUACAGAAGUUCAUGCAACCUAAUUUACACCUCUAUCCACCAUCCUAUAUUUUUGGGCAUGGAAAACUAUCUUACUCCCAGCUAACCAAACAACACAGUUUAACUACGAGGACAAAUUAAGAAUGCAAACUUUCAACGUCAUUUCAUUCAAAAUUUCAAAUAUAUAAAUUGAAA
rnacentral:misc_RNA from 1 species